UCAGAACGAACGCUGGCGGCGUGCCUAACACAUGCAAGUCGAGCGAGAAAGUCCCUUCGGGGGCGAGUAGAGCGGCGGACGGGUGAGUAAUACAUGGAUAAUCUCCCCUCGAGUUUGGGAUAACCCUGCGAAAGUGGGGCUAAUACCGGAUAAGACCACAUGACAUAUGUCACGGGGUAGAAGGUGGCUUAUAUUUAUAUGAGCUAUCACUUGAGGAUGAGUCCAUGGCCUAUCAGCUUGUUGGUGAGGUAAGAGCUUACCAAGGCUAUGACGGGUAGCUGGUCUGAGAGGACGACCAGCCACACUGGGACUGAGACACGGUCCAUACACCUACGGGUGGCAGCAGUAGGGAAUAUUAGAAAUGGACGAAAGUCUGAUCUAGCAACACCGCGUGUGCGAAGAAGGCCUUCGGGUCGUAAAGCACUUUUUGGAAGGAAUAGGAAGGAAUGUACUUCCAGAAUAAGUCUCGGCUAACUACGUGCCAGCAGCCGCGGUAACACGUAGGAGGCGAACGUUAUCCGGAUUUACUGGGCGUAAAGCGCGUGUAGGUGGUUCUGUAAGUAGGGCGUGAAAGCUCCUGGCUCAACUGGGAGAGGCCGUUCUAAACUGCAGAGCUAGAGGAUGGUAGAGGGAGGUGGAAUUCCAGGUGUAGCGGUGGAAUGCGCAGAUAUCUGGAGGAACACCAGUGGCGAAGGCGGCCUCCUGGACCAUUCCUGACACUCAGACGCGAAAGCUAGGGUAGCAAACGGGAUUAGAGACCCCGGUAGUCCUAGCCCUAAACGAUGUAGACUAGGCGUCGGUGGUUUAAUCACCAUCGGUGUCCAAGCUAACGCGAUAAGUCUACCGCCUGGGGACUACGGCCGCAAGGUUAAAACUCAAAGGAAUUGACGGGUCCCCGCACAAGCAGCGGAGCGUGUGGUUUAAUUCGUUGCUACACGAAGAACCUUACCUGGGUUUGACAUAGCAGUGGUAGGGAAGCGAAAGCGGACCGACCCUUCGGGGAGCUGUUACAGGUGUUGCAUGGCUGUCGUCAGCUCGUGUCGUGAGAUGUUCGGUUAAGUCCGCUAACGAGCGCAACCCGCGUUGUGUGUUACAAGUGUCACACAAUACCGCCGGUAUUAAGUCGGAGGAAGGUGCGGAUGACGUCAAGUCAGCAUGACCUUUAUAUCCAGGGCUACACACACGCUACAAUGGUCGGCACAAUAGGUUGCCAAGUCGUGAGACGGAGCCAAUCCUCCAAAGCCGGCCUCAGUUCAGAUUGCAGGCUGCAACUCGCCUGCAUGAAGUUGGAGUUGCUAGUAAACGCAGGUCAGCUAUACUGCGUUGAAUACGUUCCCGGGGAUUGUACACACCGCCCGUCAAGUCAUGGAAGCUGGCAACACCUGAAGCCGGUAUCCUAACCCGUAAGGGAGGGAGCUGUCAAAGGUGGGGUUGGUGACUGGGACUAAGUCGUAACAAGGUAGGCA
rnacentral:rRNA from 1 species